rnacentral:sRNA from 1 species
AAAUUUAAAAAAAAAAAAAAAAAAAAAAAAAAAAAAAAAAAAAAAAGCAUUACUUUUAUACUUUUUUAUUAAUAUAUAUAUAGAUAUAUUAUAAAUACAUGUUAUACAUAUUCUAUAUGUACGAAAUAAGGAAAAAUAUUAGGUACAUAAAUUUUUAUAUACAAAUUUAUUUAUGUACACAAAAAAAAAAAAAAAAAAAAAAUAUAUUAAUUUCCGUAAUAUAAUAAAAGUACAGUAAAAAUGUGGUGUACGUACAAUUUAUGAAUACUACCCUUUUCUAAUUUAUAAAAGAAAUAAAUAAAAACAAAAAAAUAAAUAAUAUAAAUAAAUAAUAACAUAAUAACAUACAAUGGAAAAUAUUCAUUUUUAUAUUUCAAUAAUUUUCCCCUAUGAAACAAACCAAAAUAUGCAUAUUUAUAUAAAAUAAUACAUAUUUUUUUGUUCUUUUUAGAAAUAUAUAAAAUACAUAUUAUUAUAUAUAUCUUUUGUAGUACACCCUUAAUAGCUAUUAUCAUGCAUAUAAAGAAAAAUAAAUUACUGUAUAAAAAGAUAUAUGUACAUAUACAAUAUAUUAUUCUUGUAUUUUUAUAUUUAAAAUAAUAUAAAUAUAUGGUUCAAAUAUAUUAUGAUCCUUAAUUUUACUUUAUAUAAUUUUAAAAGGAUAAAUUUAUUUAUUUAAUAAUCUUCCUUUUUAUCGAGCUCACAUAAAUAUAAAUAAAUAUAUAUAUAUAUAUAUAUAUAUAUUAUGUAUGAUUAUAAAAUCUGAAAUAUUAUAUUAUGUUUUAUUAUAUUAUAAAUAUAUAAUAAUUUAAAAAAAGCACUUGCUUUUUAUAUAUUAAUAAAUAUAAAUACAUACAUUUUUCAUAUUUUUUUAUUAUGUUUUACAAUAAUACAUAUAAAAAAAAAAAAGAAAAAUUUAUAUAUAAUUGUUAGUUUUAUAUAAUAUGCCUUAAAUUUUUUUUUUACGUAUUUUUAAAUGGAACAAAAUCGUCUCAAAAGAAAAAAAAAAAAGAAAAGAAAAGA